CUAACAUCUUCCAGUGGAGAAAACCCUAAUAUCUUCUACACCAUACAUCAGAUAACCAACAGGCGAAUACAUCAGAUAACCAACUACAACACGAUCAGGACCUCAAACCACAUUCACAGCCAACCCUAAUUCGUCUCCUCACAUCCCACCUAUCGCACAAUGCGCAUCAUUCUGCACUUUCAUUCCUCUCAACUCUAUAUCAAUGUUUUUGCUGUGAACGGUUGUGAAGAAGCCUCUUGCACUAGUUGUUCUAAUCGGAAGACCUGCUGAAAAUACGGCACGCAGUUCAGCAGGACACGGUGAGGGUCAAGGUGCUGGUAGGGGUCAAGGUGGUGGUCGAGGUAGCGGACGUGGUGGGGGUCAAGGUGCUGGUAGGGAUUAGUUGCAGCAUGAGCUUAGUGAUGUUGAUGAGCCUGUCGCUGCCGUUGGGCGUGGACCUGUUAUUCCAGCUCCACUGCCUACACCCGAAAAUCGCAAUUGGAUUUGGGUUGAAAAGGAUGAAUUCAAUGAUCAUGAUAAAGUUUCUCGGACCAUUGGAUCCAACUUGAAGUCUAUGUGGUCGGGUCCAUGGAAAGGAUGGAAAGACGUUCCUUCCCAUCACCGCGAACGCUUGUUUGAGCGUUUUCAGCAAUACUACUGAUGGGAAGAUAUUUCAAAUCCUCAAUUCACUCAUGCUUUGCUAGGAGAAGUGCAUUAAGGGGAAGUUUCCUGAUUUGUUGAAGAGGGCUCGUGAUAAAGCCAAGGCCCUUGCGAUCCAAGAGGGUGCGAAAGUUGAGAAUGAUUUGACUCCCAUUCUUCUAUUUAAGCCACUGUGGAUGAGUCAAGAGUCUUGGGAAACGCUAGUGCAUGCUUGGAAUACUGUUUCAUGGAAAAGCAAAGCUUCUCAAAACAGCGAUAACAGAGGGUGGCAGGCAUACCCUUGGCUCGAAGAGCUUUCUCACGGUUAGAAAAAAACAUGGUUUUGGGUUGGGUCGGUUCUUGAACACAAGAAAACCGACCAAACCUAGUGGAUCGACUUUUACCAAGCAAAUAGAAUGUGCCAACCAGGCCCAACAGCAAUAUAAUGUUUUAAACUAAAGUCUUAAAUCGCAACAUCAGUUUGUUCAUCAAUAACAAUGAAUACGUAACUGUUUCACCUACAAUCUGCAAUUCAUACUUAUUUCUUCAAGUAAUCCAUCAAUCUGCAAUUUGACUUGGCUGCUUCUUUCAAGAUAUUAUGGAGAAGACCUUGAUGCGGCGCGUCAAGUUCGGUGAAUUCUGGUUACAAACACACGCAAAGAAAGGGUUCGAGACCCCUAGAUGGGUUGUUGGGGUCUAGCAGCUCGAUUGAGCACGGUUCGGGAGAAGGCGGUGACAUGGAAGAGAUCAUUCAUGAGAAAAACGUGACUUGGGUUGACACGAGGGCGAGUGAAGCUUAUGAAACUUACAAUAAAUAUGAUGUCGACAAAUAUGGAGAGGAUACCAUCUUGCAUCCGGGAAUUGACAUGGAAUUGUUGUCGCAAACUGUUGGAGACAAAAAACAAAGGGUAAAUGUAUGGGAUCGGCACUAUCGCUGACUCGCGUGUCGUGAUGAUGGGUACACAAGAGAGAAGUGACCACAAUGAGGUGGAACGGUUGAAGGAAAAAAUAGCGAAGUUGGAACAAGAUAAGAUAGAGAAACAUGCUAUGAUGGAGAAAAUUGAACAAGGUGCGAGGUUGUAUGCCAAAAUGAAUAAGAAAAUUCAAAAUGUUGUCGCAAAACUCGCUACAAAACCCGCCACCAACUUAAAAUGCGUUGAAUUUUAUUAUAUUGCUUUUAGAUAAUUUGGAUUUCUAUGGUGUUAGGUUUGGUUAUGUUUGAAUUAGUUGGAUUUUUAUCGUGUUGCAUUCGGUUAUGUUUGGAUGAUUUGGAUCUUUAGUAUGACUUUUUAAUAUUUAUUGUUAUGUUUGAA